AAUCAAGUGCCUUAAGGGUGUUCGGUGGAUGCCUUGGCGCUGAGAGGCGAUGAAGGACGUGCUACGCUGCGAUAAGCCGUGGGGAGCUGCGAAGAAGCUUUGAUCCGCGGAUUUCCGAAUGGGGAAACCCACCUUCGAUAGCCGGAACUCCAAGACCUUUGGUCUUGGUGUUCGACCAGAAAUGAUCGGGACCAUGACCGCGAGGUUUUGGAUUUCCGGUUAUCAAGAGAAGGUAUGAGACUUCUGAAUACAUAGGAGGUUUCAAGCAAACCCAGGGAACUGAAACAUCUAAGUACCUGGAGGAAAGGACAUCAACAGAGACUCCGUUAGUAGUGGCGAGCGAACGCGGACCAGGCCAGUGAUACAUCAAAGACAAUCGGAACCAGUCAGGAAAGCUGGGCCU
rnacentral:rRNA from 1 species